rnacentral:piRNA from 1 species
UAGCCUAAGGUGUGAAUGACGGUGAAUGA